rnacentral:lncRNA from 1 species
AUAAUCUAUUCUUCUCUCUUUUUUUUCUUCUUUCCCAUUAUUCAAUGUCCUGGAAAAGACCACCACCCCUAUUCAGUCCAGAGCAUUAGGACCAGAACAUGCCUUCAACUCAGGGCUCCAGAUCCAUUGCACCAAGAACUUUCUACCUCUUCUGCCAUUCAUAUUAAAAGUCUUACCUUGCGUAUCCCUCAUAACCUGCCCUGUAUACCCACCACCACCACCUGUCCCAUACAACCCUUCACACAAGUCCCCUAUCUCAGUUGGUGCUGUUGGAUCCUCCCCAGCAUACCAAGCAUUCACUAAAGGAUUUGAAGACAAUUCUGCGAGCUCAUGGCCUAUAACACUAAUCAUCCCAUCCACGCCCACAUCCCCAUUUGGUGACUUCAAGGCUCCUGGCCCCCCUCCACCCAUGUAACCAGGGACUGCAAAAGGGUAAGCGCAUACUUCGGGACAUUGUUUGCCUGAGUUACCAACCCAAGCAUAAGGCAGUGUGUAGCCAACCAUUGAUGGAAAUGUAAAAUAAUGAAAUCCACACACCGCCCUACAAAAGUCUUGCAUAGUCACAUCUUGU